CGUAAUGGUAGGACGGGAGAGGGACACCUAUGGUGUGCUAGUUGAGUGACUAGUCUGUCAACCCUUUUCCGUUUUGCCACCAUA
rnacentral:antisense_RNA from 1 species